rnacentral:lncRNA from 1 species
GCCCAGCUCCAAUUCCACCAACUAGGGCUCACCUGCAAGGAUGGAAGAAAAAUGGGUGAGUUUGGGAAAACUCAGUGUAUACAGAAACCCAUCCAAAGCCCAAAUCAGCUCGAGCCCAUUGGACCUAAGCCCUAUCCAGAUAACAGUACACAGUGGACCAAAGCCCUUUUCAGAACACAGUAACAAGGCCUUAGCCCUUUUUAACAUAACAGUGUGGCCCAUAGGCCCAGUACAGUAACAUAAGUAACAAUAGUAGUAAUGCAUGCAAACCCAUCUGGGGAGACUACUCAACCCACCAACCGCUACACUGCCCCUGUACAAGCCCUACACUCCAUGUGGGGAAUAUCUCAACCCACCCAGCGCUACACUCCACAGUUGCAGCAACGCUGCUCAAAUAUCAGUAAGUUGAGGCAAAGCCUCUAGUACGUGGAUGAACCACUUUCAAUACUUCCUCCAUCAAUACCCCAAUCCCAUGCAACAGAUAUUAAUAAAAGCAUAUCAUGUAAAAUACAGUAUUAAUCAAUCAUGCAGUUUAGCCAAUUUAAACCCUAGGGGUAUAUCGGUAAUUUUGCUCUUUAGGGGUAAUUUUCGUAACUUAGCAACUACAUAAGCUACUUCAGUAAUUUUCAACAGUUUUAUGCAGUUUGGUUCCACCAUCUAACUAACAGGCUAAUUUUCCCAUCUCUUACCCAUAUUGGUCCGUAAGCCCAUUGGGCCAGUUUUGGCCCAUCGAGGCCCUCUUUUUUCGAAGUAUGUUAAGACAUCACACAAACUUACUUACCACCUUGCGGUGCUAGAUCUAACAAUUACUCUAUGUCUUGAGAGCAUUCGCAUACUCACAAGCCCAUGAAAUGCCAGAAUUUCGGCAUUUUGGCUUUCGCCGAAUUGAACUAAGAAAGGGUGUUCAGUACACACCUGUUUCGCGACGACUGCUACUGAGAUCCCUUACGAUGUCCUACAAUUAUUCAUCACCAUUUUUAGCAUACAAGUUAUGCUUAACAAACUCAAAAUCCACCCUACCUUAUUCGGCCAAAGAACCCUUAUUGACCAUAAGUUGCUUACCUUCACAGGGUCCAAUAAUACGAUUCAAGCUUAUCCAAGUCGAUACUCCAAGCCUCGCUGCUCCUCCAAAGUUGUCUAUAUCACACAGUCCAAGUCAGUCACUUGCCCACAAGGGCAAAAUAGUCAUUUAACACCCUAGGGGCAAAAUGGUAAUUCUACCCUACAGGGGUAUUUCGGUAAUUUUACCCUACAGGGGUAUUUUAGUAAUUUUGCAAAUCAAGGGUAUUUUGGUAGUUUUACAACCCAGGGGUAUUUUGGUAAUUUUGUAAAUCGAGGGUAAAAUGGUAAUUCUAUAAAUCGAGGGUAAAAUAGUAAUUCUGUAAACUGAGGGUAAAAUGGUAAUUCUGUAAAUCGAGGGUAAAAUGGUAAUUCUAUAAACUGAGGGUAAAACGGUAAUUCUGUAAAUCGAGGGUAAAACGAUAAUUUUAAAAAUUGAGGGUAAAACGAUAAUUCUGUAAAUCGAGGGUAAAACGGUAAUUCUGUAAAUCGGGAGUACUUUGGUAAUUUUACAAGUCGAGGGCAUUUCAGUAAUUGGUAAACUAAAGUAUUCUAAACAUGGAUAACAAUACGAAUGGGCCUAAAGCCUAUUCUUGGCCUAAAUGGGCCCACACGCUUGUGUGGCCCUUUUAGCCCAAACCUAGCCACAGAUAUGCGAUUCACCUAGCCUAGUCCAAUAUUUACUACACAAUCAAACAACUUAUCCAAUUGGGCCCGUAGGCCCAUUGGGCCCACAUGGCCCCUUUCGGCCUAUCGUGGCCCGAAGUAGCCAUCUUACAACCAAAGAAGUGAGAAAUACACACCUGAUAGGAGACUGGAGUUAAUCCGCGCUCCGAGCACUUCUAGCCGAUGCCCAACCAAAAC